rnacentral:rRNA from 1 species
AGAGUUUGAUCAUGGCUCAGAAUCAACGCUGGCGGCGCGCUUAACACAUGCAAGUCGAACGAGAAAGGUCUUUCGGGACUGAGUACAGUGGCGCACGGGUGAGUAACACGUGGAUACCUACCCUCGAGUGGGGGAUAACUCUGGGAAACUAGAGCUAAUACCGCAUACGAUCGAGAGAUGAAAGCAGCAAUGCGCUGGAGGAGGGGUUCGCGGUCGAUUAGCUAGUUGGUGAGGUAAUGGCUCACCAAGGCAACGAUCGAUAGCCGGCCUGAGAGGGCACACGGCCACACUGGCACUGAAACACGGGCCAGACUCCUACGGGAGGCAGCAGUGGGGAAUCUUGCACAAUGGAGGAAACUCUGAUGCAGCGACGCCGCGUGAGCGAAGAAGCCUUUCGGGGUGUAAAGCUCUUACGCCAGGGACGAUAAUGACGGUACCUGGAGAAGCAGCUGCGGCUAACUACGUGCCAGCAGCCGCGGUAAUACGUAGGCAGCAAGCGUUGUUCGGAAUUACUGGGCGUAAAGGGUGCGUAGGCGGUUGCCUAAGUUUGGUGUGAAAUCUCCCGGCUUAACUGGGAGGGUGCGCUGAAGACUGGGCGACUUGAGUAUGGGAGAGGAAAGCGGAAUUCCUGGUGUAGCGGUGAAAUGCGUAGAGAUCAGGAGGAACACCUGCGGUGUAGACGGCUUUCUGGACCAAGACUGACGCUGAGGCACGAAAGCGUGGGUAGCAAACAGGAUUAGAUACCCUGGUAGUCCACGCCC